AACCUGCAGAGGAUUCAGGAAGCCUGUGCAUAAGUAUCUCCCACAGAGAUUCUUCUGUGUUUGAGUGUCGUCACUGUUUAAGCACAAAGUGAUGGGGGAUUUCAUAUCUUAUAGGACAAUUCAUUCAAUUUAAAGUCAGCAUGGAUUUUUGUAUUGGAGGUGACCUUAAAGACCCCAUAAUGCGAUGUGCACAGAGAACCUAUUAUCCAAAGGAUUGCCAACAGGCAAACACCCACCUCAGUGCUACAGCUGCAAGGAACUGAAUUCAGUCAACACCUGAGUGAACCUGGAAGCACAAUCAUCCUCACCGCCUCCCCAAAGUAACAUAGCCCCUCUGACACCUUGAUUUCUGCUUUGUGAAACCUGGAGCAGAAAACCCAGCUGAGCCUGCGCAGAUUUCUGACCUACGAACUACGAGAUAAUAAAUUUGUGUUGUUGAACUUUGUGGUGAUUUGUUCUGAUAGCAAUAGAAAACUAAUAAAAGAUGAACAAAAUAUAACUGCUUUGUUACCAUGUAAAUAAAAAGAAUCCAUAUACUGAAAGAAAAGAAA
rnacentral:lncRNA from 1 species